UUGGUUUUUCAGAUUUGAUGGUUGGAAUGCACGCUAUAUAUCAUCAAAUGACUACAGUAAAGAUCUUGUUGUAAGAAAUUUUUAAUUUUGGUUGGUUUUCACGCUAGCAAAAUUUGGUGGUGAAACUUGGCAAGGUCGGUGCAUGGUGCCAAGAUUUGGGAAAUUUUCAAAGACUUGGUUUUUCAGAUUUGAUUGUUGGAAUGGACGCUUUAUAUCACCAAAUGACUACAGUAAAGAUCUUCGUGCAAGGAAUUUUUUAUUUUGGUUGGUUUUCAGGCUAGCAAAAUUUGGUGGUGAGACUUGGCAAGGUCGGUGCAUGGUACAAAGAUUUUAGAAAUUUUUAAAGACUUGGUUUUUCAGUUUUGAUGGUUGGAAUGCACUCUUUAUAUCACCAAAUGACUACAGUAAUGAUAUUCGUGCAAGAAAUUUUUAUUUUGGUUGGUUUUCAGGCUAGCAAAAUUUGGUGGUGAGACUUGGCAAGGUGGGUGCAUGGUGCCAAGAUUUGGGAAAUUUUCAAAGUCUUGGUUUUUCAAAUUUGAUGGUUGGAAUGCACUCUUUAUAUCACCAAAUGAAUACUGUAAACAUGUUGGUGCAAGAAAUUUUUCAUUUUAGUUGGUUUUCAAGCUCGUCAAGUUUGGUGGUGAGACUUGGCUAGGUUAGUGCAUGG
rnacentral:lncRNA from 1 species